AAACACAAACCGAUGGUUGUAUUGUGGUGCAAUUGAUAACAUGAAUGGCUUUAUGCCAUAUUUCAAUAUAAAAAUUAUUGGUAUUUCAGAGGAGAUAUAAAAUGUGUUAAAUUAAGUUUGUGU